rnacentral:sRNA from 1 species
UUCUAGCCCUGAUGAAAGUGGAAAGCCUUUUGAAAUAGAAUUGCAUUUUUUUCCUGAGAAAAAAGAGCGACCGGCGGAAGCUCCUUUUUUCUCAGGAAAAAAGCAAUUCCAUGAAAAAGCUUGAAGCGGUCAGCAGGAAAUAGC